UACGUAGGGUGCGAGCGUUGUCCGGAAUUAUUGGGCGUAAAGAGCUUGUAGGCGGUUUGUCGCGUCUGCUGUGAAAAUCCGGGGCUCAACCCCGGACUUGCAGUGGGUACGGGCAGACUAGAGUGUGGUAGGGAAGACUGGAAUUCCUGGUGUAGCGGUGGAAUGCGCAGAUAUCAGGAGGAACACCGAUGGCGAAGGCAGGUCUCUGGGCCACUACUGACGCUGAGAAGCGAAAGCAUGGGGAGCGAACAGG
rnacentral:rRNA from 1 species